CUCAAAGAUUAAGCCAUGCAUGUCUAAGUAUAAAAUAACUACACAGUAAAACUGCGAAUGGCUCAUUAAAACAGUUAUAGUUUAUUUGAUAAAUUAAAUGGAUAACUGUAGGAAACUAGAGCUAAUACAUGCCAAGGUCGUAAGACUGCAUUUAUUAGAUAUACCAAGUCGGUGAAUCAUAAUAACUUAGCAAAUCGAAACAACGUUUCGAUAAAUCAUUCAAGUUUCUGACCUAUCAUGCUGGAUGGUAGUGUAUUGGACUACCAAGGCAGUCACGGGUAACGGAGAAUUAGGGUUCGAUUCCGGAGAAGGAGCCUGAGAAACGGCUACUACAUCUAAGGAAGGCAGCAGGCGCGUAAAUUACCCAAUCCUAAAUCAGGGAGGUAGUGACAAGAUAUAACAACGCGAUUAAAUAUCGCGAUUGUAGUGAGGGCAUUCUAAAAAAUAGACUUCGAGUACGAUUGGAG
rnacentral:rRNA from 1 species